UACGUAGGGUGCAAGCGUUGUCCGGAAUUAUUGGGCGUAAAGAGCUCGUAGGCGGUUUGUCGCGUCGAAUGUGAAAACCCGGGGCUCAACCCCCGGGCCUGCAUUCGAUACGGGCAGGCUAGAGUUCGGUAGGGGAGAUCGGAAUUCCUGGUGUAGCGGUGAAAUGCGCAGAUAUCAGGAGGAACACCGGUGGCGAAGGCGGAUCUCUGGGCCGAUACUGACGCUGAGGAGCGAAAGCGUGGGGAGCGAACAGG
rnacentral:rRNA from 1 species